rnacentral:rRNA from 1 species
GUGCAGCAGGCGCGAAACCUCCGCAAUGCGGGAAACCGCGACGGGGGACCCCGAGUGCCGUGGCAAUGCUACGGCUUUUCCGGAGUGUAAAAAGCUCCGGGAAUAAGGGCUGGGCAAGGCCGGUGGCAGCCGCCGCGGUAAUACCGGCGGCCCGAGUGGUGGCCGCUAUUAUUGGGCCUAAAGCGUCCGUAGCCGGGCCCGUAAGUCCCUGGCGAAAUCCCACGGCUCAACCGUGGGGCUUGCUGGGGAUACUGCGGGUCUUGGGACCGGGAGAGGCGAGGGGUACCCCUGGGGUAGGGGUGAAAUCCUAUAAUCCCAGGGGGACCGCCAGUGGCGAAGGCGCCCCGCUGGAACGGGUCCGACGGUGAGGGACGAAGGCCAGGGGAGCAAACCGGAUUAGAUACCCGCGUAGU